AUAUGUAGGGGGCGAGCGUUAUCCGGAUUUACUGGGCGUAAAGCGCGGGCAGGCGGUGGUCCAAGUCGGACGUGAAAGCUCCCGGCUCAACUGGGAGAGGUCGUUCGAAACUGGGCCGCUAGAGGGCAGUAGAGGGGCGUGGAAUUCCGGGUGGAGUGGUGAAAUGCGUAGAGAUCCGGAGGAACACCAGAGGCGAAGGCGGCGCCCUGGGCUGCACCUGACGCUGAGCCGCGAAAGCUAGGGGAGCGAACGGGAUUAGAAACCCCGGUAGUCCUAGCCGUAAACGAUGUCCACUAGAUGUCUGGGCGGAGCGCCUAGGCGUCGCAGCUAACGCGUUAAGUGGACCGCCUGGGGAGUACGGCCGCAAGGCUAAA
rnacentral:rRNA from 1 species